AACUUUUUGCUCGUCUUACACUUCUCUGUACCGCUUGACAGUCUGGGCCGAAAAGAUGCCACGUCAUUUAAGAUAUUCCACUUUUGACCAAAAAAAUUAAGAUAUUCCACGUCGGCACCACCACAUCAUCAUUUUAAGGGAGUUCCCGACAGCAAUUACAAGUAAGACCUAGACCGCACGAUGAGAGAAAAUAUUGCCGUAUCAAUGGCUGAUGUAGCGUGUGCUUAUUUAUACUAUUAACCAAUUAUAAUUUGACACAUAAUCGAUGACAAGGAAAUAAAGAAAUUAAUAAAAAAUCCCCAAAUCCAACUGGACUUCUCUCUUCCUCCUCUUCCAUAUGCAGCCACCACGAGCUCAACCUCCGCGCCUCCUUCCGCCAUUGCCACCGCCGGAGUCGCCGGCGUCUCGCAUCUCUUCAACUUGGUCGUCUCCUCCGCUCGGUUCCUCACUUCCAAGUCUGGCAGCAGGGGACUGGAUUUGGUCGGAAGAGAACCCAUGGCUAAAGCUGGUCAAUCCUUCCACCACUCAACACAAAAUCCAUGGACUGAAAGCGUGCAGGUUUUUUCGUCGCGAGACGACCGAAAUAGAAAAUGAUUGUGUAGAAACAGCUCCAUUUGCGCCAGAUCUGGAGCCUUGGCCACGAGCGACAAUAGCUCGCUCACACACGACGACGACGAGGAGACGCGAAGGUCGAUGAAGUCUAGAUCUGGAACUGUCGUCGCUCCUGGCCGAGGCUCCAGAUCUGGAAGUUCGAUUGGAUGUGGAGCCUUGGCUGCGAGACUGAGAGGUGGACGCGGAGGUCGGCGCUCAGAUCUGUGGACGAGAGGCCGUCCAUGGCCGACCGCUGCUCUGCAUCUCCAUCUCUGUGGACGAGCGCUUGCGGCCAAGGCUCAGCCGUUGGGACAACGGAGAGGCGGUGGACGGGAAGGUCGGCCUGGACGCGACGACCGACCGUCACUCAAUAGCCAGAUCUGGUCUGCUGCUCAAUGGCUUUGAGCUCGAAACUUGGCUCGUCCAUGGCUGCCGGCGAUGAGUUCAACGGCUUUGCCGCGUUCCAUGGUGGCCACGGUGGGGCGGUGGCUCAAGGAUCGCGGCGGCGGUGGCGGAGGAGAUAGCUAAGCCCAGGUGGAGCGGAGGUUGAAGAUGAAGAGUCAAAGAGAGAAAAGUUAAUUUUUUAAUUUCCACGUCAGUGUCCAUGUGUCACGAUUUAGUUGGAUAUUAGUAAAUAAGCACACGCCACGUCAGCUGAUGAUGUGGCACUUGCGAACCACUCAAUAUUCUCUUGCACAAUCGAGAUACUUCAAGGAUUGAUUGCACAAAAUCAAACUUUAAUGUCUGCUUGAUAAUCCAAAUAAGUGCUGAUAAUUAAAAUUCAGCACUUAAUGUAAUUAAGCUUGGUUAAUAAUCUCAAACACAGUUGACUUAAACAUUCAAUUAACUCAAAAAUCCACUUAAUUUGAUAAGUAAAAAAGGG
rnacentral:lncRNA from 1 species